GCUUCUAUAGCUCAGUCGGCUAGAGCACGCGUUUUGUAAGCGGGAGGUCUUGAGUUCAACUCUCAAUGGAUGCA
rnacentral:tRNA from 1 species